GGUGGCUCAGUGUAGAGUGCUUGCCUUGUAUGCAUGAGGCCCAAUGAGGUUCAAUUCCUCAGCACCA
rnacentral:tRNA from 1 species